AGUUAGGAACGAUCAAGAAGUUUUCCUACGCUCCCGCUCGAGGGACAGUUUUUCGACACCGGGCUUUGUGAAGGCACAGACGCGGUCGGGCUCUGCCGGGACCCGGCUGAUUUCCCUGCCCGCCCGCGGGCGAGGGAUUUUCCGCUCCGGGUCGCCCGGCAGCACCUGCUGCUGUCGCCGCCCGGCACCCCCAGCCCUGGGCCCGGCUCCCGCCCCGGCGGCACCCGCUGUACCUGCAGGAUCUUGUCCAGCCCCUCCUGGCCCAGGCAAGGGAACUGCUUGAGCAGCUCCGUCUUCUGCCGCUUGUAGUCGUCGGUAGCCGAGCGCCAGUGGGGCUCCUCCAGCACCUCGAAGAUCGCGGCCCCGAUGGACAGGUAGAAGAUGAUGGCCGAGGUUCAGCGUAAUUUCUCGUUUUCGACGCCGGCAGGCUGUGAAACGAGGGCUGUGGCUUUCCCGGAUGCGUGGAAGCGUGGGGGAAAGGUGAGCAGGAGAUCUGAGGAGAAAAUUAAGAAAUCUGUCGUCAGGUUUCACCCCUCCCCUGAGACGUCGUCCAGACGUGUGCAUUACAGAUUCUUCAGAGCAGACACUGCAUCUCCCUUCUUCGUGCAUUUUGUACCUUUAAUAAAUGUUCC
rnacentral:lncRNA from 1 species